rnacentral:ncRNA from 2 species
CUUAAAAUAUUCAUUAUAAUAUUAAUUUAUAUGUAUAUUUAUGUAUGUAAUAAUUUCUAGAGGAAUUUAUUUGAAUAUGUUGCAGUAAAUAAUUUUAUUGAUAUUAGGUUAAUUUAGAUUUAGUAAAUAAUUAAAGGUUUGGUUAAAGUUGUGCCAGCAUCCGCGGUUAGACAAUAAAAUCAAGUGAAUGGUUGUUGGUUUAAGUAAUUAACAUAUUGUUAAUAUAGAAAUUUUAGUAUUUUGGGGUGAAAUAUUUAAGUAUUUUAAGGUAUAUAUAAUGAGGUGUGAAUAUAAUUGUGAAAAUGAAAAUGUAAACUAGGAUUAGAUACCCUACUAUUUUUAUUGUAAAGGAAAACCAAAAUAUUAAUAGUUAUGAUCUUAAAAUUUAAAGAAUUUGGCGGUAUUAUAAUCUAUUUAGAGGAAUCUGUUAUGUAAUUGAUGAUCCACGUUGAAUCUUACUUAUAUUAUUUCUUGUAUAUCGCUGUUUAAGAAAAUACUUUAAGGUUAUUUUCUUGAGAUAUAAUUUUUUAAUAGUUCAAGUCAAGGUGCAGUAAUAUAUAAGUUAAAUAAUGGGUUACAAUAAAUUGUAUUUAUUAUGGAUUUUUAUUGAAAUAUAUAUUGAAAGUGGAUUUAAUUGUAAUUUUAUAAAGAUUAUUAAAAUGAUUUUGGGCUCUAUAUUAUGUACAUAUUGCCCGUCACUCUCGUCUUAAAAUGAGAUAAGUCGUAACAAAGUAGAUGUAUCGGAAGGUGUAUCUAGAAAGAAAGAAAUAUUAA